rnacentral:misc_RNA from 1 species
AGUGAUAUUCGUCCAUGGUGGAUAAAACAUCACUACUGUGCUAUGGCCAUGGCACUUAUAAGUCUUACCUGGGAAAUAGAAAGAGAACCUAACUGUUCACAGAAGCAGAGGGGUGUGCAACUGUUCCUGAAAUGGGCUAUCAUGCAAGGUGUUGCAAUGCUCCUUCAGAAUAGAUAUCAGAGACAAAGACUGUACACUCGUAUUGCAUUAGGAAAGGCCAGGAGAAUGGAUGUUGUGUGGGGAGAGACUGCUGGAGUAGAUGGUCAAUUAUUGUUGCUCUUCCCUGUACUAUUUAUCUUGCAGGGAUUUGAAGCAUAUGUUGGAGUCUUGUUGCUUAAGACAGCAUUCAUUGGUGUUGUUUCUGAGUGGCAGGUUGUUACCUGUGGGAUCCUUCUGAUUAUCAUGGCGGCUGGGAAUUUUGCCAACACAGUGAAGACUCUUGUGACAAAGUCUCGUGUUAAAGCCAAAAUGAAGAGAGGUAAAAGUAAACAAGAUCUGAAAUCUGAAUCUCCCGCCAAAAGUUCGUGAUCGGGUGUGUCUGGUCCAGUCUAGUAUCCUGGCUAUGACAGACGAAGAUGCGAAGUUAUUCUUCAUAUACCCUUUUUCUCGUUCAUAUGAGUAAGCACCAUAAUGCUUCUCUCACACUGACUUUGGGCUUCAGAGGAUAGUUGCCGGAAAUAGUCGCGCAUGCAGUCCCCCAAGGAAUGAUUUUGUUUGGUUCUUUAUGUUUUGAGUGUUUUCUUGUCUCGUUCUAAAAAAUUUAUGAUGGGAAGGGAUAUGUCUACGUUAGAAGAACUUUGACCGUUAGUUAUUUCCCUUGUUACCAAAUUUUGGUACUACUUAAAUAUUAACGAUAAUUGUAAGCAGCAGAUGAGCAAAGCCUUGUAUGGUUUUUACUUGAAGACUUGCUCUGACGUGUGCCUCCUUAUUUUGGGUAUGUAUCUGUUCUAUUCACACUAAUAAUGCAUGUUAGGGAGUCUUUUCCA